rnacentral:rRNA from 1 species
CCCUUAGAUGUUCUGGGCCGCACGCGCGCUACACUGAUCAGUGCAACAAGCAUCCGUCCUUGGCCGACAGGCCCGGGCAAUCUUUUAACGCUGAUCGUGAUGGGGAUAGACUUUUGCAAUUUUUGGUCUUCAACGAGGAAUUCCUAGUAAACGCAAGUCAUCAACUUGCAUUGAUUACGUCCCUGCCCUUUGUACACACCGCCCGUCGCACCUACCGAUUGAAUGGUCCGGUGAAGCCUCCGGAUUGGCGUGCACCCUCGGGUGCUGCCGAGAAGUUGGCUAAACCUUACCAUUUAGAGGAAGGUGAAGUCGUAACA